AUGAAAAGAGCAGGGUCUUCUCUAUUUUGGAUUUGGACACUGAUGAUGAAGCUGUGAUAUUCUGAUCCAGGACUCAAUGGCUCCUCCUGGAUCUUCUAACAAGGAUCCUCAUAGCUCAAAAACGAUCAGAGCUCAUUAAUUAUUAACUAACUAGAACUUUUAUGGCUCAUUAGCUACUGGUUAAAUGUCAGGAUUCCAUAUAGUCAGAAUCAUGGAGCAUGCAGCCUCUUUAGGUACAUGAUUAGAAUCCUUCUUUGUUUUCUGAGAAGACCCUUUGUUGGGAAGAAUUGAUGAUCAGGAAUGCAAAUGAGAAUGGCCAAAGGACAGCUAGCUGACUUACAAAAAGAAAAAGAAGAUUCGGUAUAAAGAAGGAGAGAAGGGUGACCAGGGGGCUGCCUUGUGCCUGGGUCUGAAGAGAAGAGGAAGAAAGAGGGGAGUCUGAUGGACAAAGCUCUGUGGAGGACGUGGCACUGAGCAGAAACUUGAAACAGAGCUUGACUGGCUGGCAGGAUGAGAAGAAUGGACUCUUGGCUGAAGGGGAAGCAAGCACAAGCACAUAGAGAUGAGGAAGCAUGGGUGGUGGUAUAUAGGGCUUGGUGUGUUAAUCAAACUGUCAGCAAAGGAAAAAAAAAAGAAGAAGAAGAAAGGGCACAUUCUAUCCAAAUGAAGAAAAAUCUGAGCUU
rnacentral:lncRNA from 1 species